CACGUGGGCCCACUGGGGACUGGGGAGGCAGAGUAGGCUCCAUUGGCCUAACCCCACACAGAGGUCCCUGCAGACAUGUCCUGGCUGUUUCCUAACUAAGGACAAGGAGUCUCCGUUCCUCCCCCUGGCAAGAACAGGAACUUUGUCCAAAAUCACAAGCCAGGAUUACCCAUUGUUUUAUCUUUUUGAUCUGAAGCCAGGACUGGGGACUCAGGGCUCGGGGCUCGGGCACCCACCCAGCCUGAGCCCCGGUGGCCUCUCCCUAGGGAGGGGCCGAGGGUCUGCCCUGUGUUCUCCGGUUACUUAUUAACCAACUGGGAGCCACUCUGGAAACCGGCAAGCUGCUGGGGGAGUGCAAGCCCAAGAUCAAGGGCAGGUGGCUGGGUCGCUCCCCAGCUGUGCCUGCAAACACCCCCACCUGGGGCUGGGCACUGAGGGGGGCACCCCAAAGUCCUCAGAGCAGUCCUGGGGGGCUCCAGACAAUCCCAGGGCCAGCCCUCAGGGCUCUGCAGAUGUAGGAGGGUCAGGGGCCAGCCUGGGCUGGGCAGGAGCAGCCCCCACUCCCCCUCAAAGGCACCAGGACUCUCUCCGGGACCAGGAGCAGCCCUGCCAUGCCUCUGAUGGGCGUCUUACCAGACACGGUUAGAUCUCGAUGCCUCUGUCUAAUACUGUCUGGUAAUGCCGUCUAUCCAGGGCCCCAUCACCGCAGGAGGACCACUCACCUGGGCGGUACCACUGCCCAGGGCUGGGGCUGGAGCCCUGGGCCAACUCCCCACCUGCAGGACGCUGGCUGCCUCUCCUGACAAAGGAGUGCCAGGCCCUCACAGCCCCUGGUACUACACUGAGGGUGUGGGAGCUGCAGGCACCUCCAGCCAGCACUCACGGGACAGAGGGGACCCUGAGCCCAACCUGGCCCUCAAGGCCCUGUCCACCUGUACCAGGCAGUGGAAGACAGGCAUGAAGAGCCCUGCCCCACCCCCAGUGUUCCCCAACCUAGAGAAGGGGAGAAGACCCAGGGUGGGUCCUCAUUACAGCCUCUCAGUACCACAUGUCCUAGGCAGCAUCAGGACCCCAGACUCCUGGGAAGGGCCAGAAGCAAGCCCUGGGGUGGGGUGCAGUUGACAUCUCCCUCCACCGGGCUGAGUGGCCCAUGGACCCACGCCCAGGGCUGAGGUGGUCAGGGGGCACUGCCCAAGUGCCAGGCCUGGUGAGAGGGAAGCCGUGCCUUCUCGGCUUGCCCACUGCCCUUCUCUCAGCAGCCCCAGCUCCAGGGUCAGGGAACUGCCCCCCCAACCAAGCUGGGAAUCACACCAUGCCACCUUGCGCCUUUGUCCCCUGAGAGUGAAGCGGGCCCUGAGUAAAGCUGUCAGGGCAGUUGGUUCACUGCGGCGUGACAUGUGAGAAGGAUUCAGAGUGAGCCCCACUCUGGAGUGCGACGUCCCACCCCUCAGACCUGGAACCUGAGCCACUGAUUUCCAACCGCUCCUCCAGAACACAGGCUGCACCCAGAGGCCACACACCCAGCCUGGCCAACCCCCUCGCAUGCCCCGGUGUAGGGUGCACCUCGAGCUCCACCAGAUGUCGCCUCCCUCUCUCCCCACAGCACUGUUGAGGCUGACACCCAGUCCUGCUGAGUGUCCCCAGACCCCUCCUCCGUACCCUCCCUUUGGAGACACUGGGAACAACUGCAAAGAUCUCUGUACAAUAAACCCCAUGACUUGAAAACCUUGAUUCUGAUCACCUCCUUGUUCUAACCGUACAAAACUGACCCAGAGCUUUGCAAAGGGCCCUGCUGUAGACAGAGCCCUACUGUGAGCUCAGAGAGCCCGCAGCCCCAGCCACAGGAGAGGCACCCCCCCAUUCUUCCCUCCCCCCCCCCGCUUUCUCCCUCCCCCUCCCUCCCUCACUGAGUCUGUCCUGCCUCUUCUGUGGGCAACGCAGUUAGAGACAUUGAGAUGCAGGAAAGCCCCCAGCAGGAACCACAGGGAUGAGUGGUCACAGGGCAGAGUUUUCCUGAGCACUUGGUGCCACCAUGUGGGCAGGGUGUCACAGCCCCAGAACCUGGCUGUGGUGGGGCUCCCCUGGGACAAGGGCAGUGGCCUGGCAAGAAGGUUAGACUUCCAGGCCCCUGGAAGGGAGGGAAGGAGCCACUGGGGGAGGUCUGUAGGCUCUGUGCUCCUACCAGGCCUUCAGGAGGAGGGUAUGAGCCCACCAGGCCCAGGUGUCCUCACAUGGCCACCACAAAGCUGGAACAGGGAUAUAAGCAGUCCUGUGUGGUAUGUACCCCAGAACAUAUCUUCCAAAGGUCAGGGUGCUCCUGCAAUGAGGCUCCCCUCCCAGCCCAGGGGCCCCUGCUCCGUCUGGGGAGCAUCAAGACUAGUGAGGGUGAGUGCAUCCUUCCCACCCAGGGUCAGCAGCUGUUGGCCACCUGCCCAGACCAGAGGUUGGCAGGGCCAAGGUGCAGGCCCAGGCUCAGGGCGUUUGCCCACUCAGCCCAGGCUGGGUGGAGCAGCUCCCUGGCCAGCCCUACUGCAGCCCCCUCAGGCUGACCUAUGGCUACCUAGGACAAGGAUCUCCUGGGCCAUCACUGCACUAGGGUGCAGAAGCUACAGUCAGGCAGGGUGGGCUAGGGCCACCUCAGGAAGCAGUCUCCCACCCACAGAAAUAGGAAAGGGUAGAAAACCCCAGCCCCACCCCACCCAGCCCCUGGGCUCUGAGGAAUGGAGCCUCUCCAACCCCAGCCACACCUGGCACCAGGCAUGGGGGGACUCUGUGUGGGUGAGGGAGCCCCAAGAGUCGGCAGUAGCAGCACCCAGCCGGGCCCCUGGAAGGGCCUAGGGGGCUGUGUGAAUGUCCUGUGCAGCUACAACAACCAGCCUGGACUGGCGACUCUCUCUCCCAAGGCCUCGUGGCUGGCUGUCCUGCUACCAGGGCUCUAGGGGACCUACCUACCUCCUGAGCUCCUGAGGGCUCAGGUCCCUGGGCUUGUGGCUGCACCACCUCCAUCUCUGCCCCCAACUCCAUCUCUCUUCCCUCUGCCUCCCCCCGAGGAGGAUGCAGGUCAUUGGAUUUAGGGCCCACAUGGUUGAUCCAGGACAGUGUCAUCUGAGAUCUAACGUAAUCACAUCUAUGCAGAUCUUUCUUUCCCAAUGAGAUCACAUUUGCAGGCCCCUGGGCUUAGGACAUGGUCCUGUCUCUGGGGACAGCCCCUUCAAGGGACUCCUGUGACCCUCACAGGGCCCACAUAGCUGGAGGCUCAGUUUGGAGGCAGGGGUCACACCUGUCCCAGGAGCCUCAGCUGGGAGCACUUCACAAACUGGCACCCAGGGCCUCUCUGAGCUAGGCGUGGAGUCAGCUCCUAGGACACUGGGCUGGGGCUCAGGGGCCCCUGAGAAGGCUCAGAGAUGACCCUGGGAGGAUUGGGAGGAAGGGGAAAUGGGAGACAGGGCCCCAGGUUAUCCCCGGGGGGUGCUCCCAGCCCCAGCUCCCCAGCCUCCUGCCACCCAGCGUGACCCCCCCAUCCCCACUUGACUCCUGUCAGGUCCUUGGCUGGGUGCUGCCCAUCCACUAAAGCCCUUGUUUACCUCUGGGCCCAGCCGGAUCACAGUUGCCAGGUAAUGGUUGCUGGGAAACAGUUGCCAGGUCACCACUGUUGUCUCCCAGCAGAGGGCUCCCGAGACUUGUUGGGCAGGUAAGAGAGACAGGAGGGCCACCAGCCCGGGUCCUGGCUGGGGCUGAGGCUUGGCCUUGCCCUCUGGUGCUUCUCUCCAGCCCCUGCCCAGAAGCAGAGGAAGGAGGAAGGGACCAGACAGAGACUGGGGUGGACGAGUCUUUGGCGCAGGAGCAGGUCUGUCUCCUAGAAGUAAUCCCCGGGAGGGCAGCCUCCUGAGAUCCACGGGGACUGACUCCGUCCCCAGAGUGCCGCUGGCCGGGGUGCCAACCCCCCCCCCCCCCCGAGCCACUUCAGCACUUCCUGAGCCCUGUGUGGCCGACUGUGAGCUGCUGGGUGCUUCUAACCAUGGACUCUGACCUGCAGGCAUCUUCCUCAGGGUUAGAAGCCUCUCCUCCCCAUCAGACCAGGGUGCGGUUUCCUGCCUUUUUAUCUGACCAGGUAAAAAGUUUACCUUAAAUUUCUUACAGAGCUGUGAGCCUUCUGCCUGGUCCCUUGCCCUGGGUUUUCGCUCAGUCUUUGCCAAACGUCCUGCUCAGGACCACGCCCUGCUCUGAGGACUAGUUGCUCCCCCGUCCGCCCCUCUGGUGUAAGCCUCCUUUCUGGNCAGGGCUGAGGUGGUCAGGGGGCACUGCCCAAGUGCCAGGCCUGGUGAGAGGGAAGCCGUGCCUUCUCGGCUUGCCCACUGCCCUUCUCUCAGCAGCCCCAGCUCCAGGGUCAGGGAACUGCCCCCCCAACCAAGCUGGGAAUCACACCAUGCCACCUUGCGCCUUUGUCCCCUGAGAGUGAAGCGGGCCCUGAGUAAAGCUGUCAGGGCAGUUGGUUCACUGCGGCGUGACAUGUGAGAAGGAUUCAGAGUGAGCCCCACUCUGGAGUGCGACGUCCCACCCCUCAGACCUGGAACCUGAGCCACUGAUUUCCAACCGCUCCUCCAGAACACAGGCUGCACCCAGACGCCACACACCCAGCCUGGCCAACCCCCUCGCAUGCCCCGGUGUAGGGUGCACCUCGAGCUCCACCAGAUGUCGCCUCCCUCUCUCCCCACAGCACUGUUGAGGCUGACACCCAGUCCUGCUGAGUGUCCCCAGACCCCUCCUCCGUACCCUCCCUUUGGAGACACUGGGAACAACUGCAAAGAUCUCUGUACAAUAAACCCC
rnacentral:lncRNA from 1 species